rnacentral:rRNA from 1 species
GACGAACGCUGGCGGCGCGCUUAACACAUGCAAGUCGAACGGAAAGGCCCUGCUUUUGUGGGGUGCUCGAGUGGCGAACGGGUGAGUAACACGUGAGUAACCUGCCCUUGACUUUGGGAUAACUUCAGGAAACUGGGGCUAAUACCGGAUAGGAGCUCCUGCUGCAUGGUGGGGGUUGGAAAGUUUCGGCGGUUGGGGAUGGACUCGCGGCUUAUCAGCUUGUUGGUGGGGUAGUGGCUUACCAAGGCUUUGACGGGUAGCCGGCCUGAGAGGGUGACCGGCCACAUUGGGACUGAGAUACGGCCCAGACUCCUACGGGAGGCAGCAGUGGGGAAUAUUGCACAAUGGGCGGAAGCCUGAUGCAGCAACGCCGCAUGCGGGAUGACGGCCUUCGGGUUGUAAACCGCUUUCGCCUGUGACGAAGCGUGAGUGACGGUAAUGGGUAAAGAAGCACCGGCUAACUACGUG